GUAGAUGCAGAUUAUGCAGUUGAAGAGAGUAGGGGAACUGAUGAAAACCUUUUGCAAAAGUUACAUGCUUUCAGAAUAAGAAUAACCCCUUUGUUCUGCUCUUAGGUGUCUGGCGAAUUUAGCAUCGUCCAAUUCAUCUAUUUAGUCACUCAAAAGUGAAAACAUAGAUGAUAACAAAUUCACUGCAGCUCACUGCCUCAAGUAAGAAGCAUGAAGUGAUAUGAUGUGGGAUUUGCAAUUGUUACUGACCGUGGGGGA
rnacentral:lncRNA from 1 species